GCCUUUUUAGCGCAUUAGGUAGUGCGUCAGUCUCAUAAUCUCAAGGUCGUGAGUUCAAUCCUCACACAGGGCA
rnacentral:tRNA from 1 species